rnacentral:rRNA from 1 species
AGCAUAUCAAUAAGCGGAGGAAAAGAAACCAACAGGGAUUACCUCAGUAACGGCGAGUGAAGCGGUAACAGCUCAAAUUUGAAAGCUAGCUCUUUUAGGGUUCGCAUUGUAAUUUGUAGAAGAUGCUUCGGGUGUGGCCCCGGUCUAAGUUCCUUGGAACAGGACGUCAUAGAGGGUGAGAAUCCCGUAUGUGACUGGGUGCUUUCGCUCAUGUGAAGCUCUUUCGACGAGUCGAGUUGUUUGGGAAUGCAGCUCAAAAUGGGUGGUAAAUUUCAUCUAAAGCUAAAUAUUGGCCAGAGACCGAUAGCGCACAAGUAGAGUGAUCGAAAGAUGAAAAGCACUUUGGAAAGAGAGUUAAACAGUACGUGAAAUUGUUGAAAGGGAAGCGCUUGCAACCAGACUUGCGCGCUGAUGAUCAUCCGGGCUUCUGCCCGGUGCACUCGUCUGCGCUCAGGCCAGCAUCGGUUUCGGUGGUGGGAUAAAGGCCUUGGGAAUGUAGCUCCUCUCGGGGAGUGUUAUAGCCCUCGGUGCAAUGCCGCCUACCGGGACCGAGGACCGCGCUUCGGCUAGGAUGCUGGCGUAAUGGUUGUAAGCGACCCGUCUUGAAACACGGACCAAGGAGUCUAACAUCUAUGCGAGUGUUUGGGUGUCAAACCCAUACGCGUAAUGAAAGUGAACGGAGGUGAGAACCCUUAAGGGUGCAUCAUCGACCGAUCCUGAUGUCUUCGGAUGGAUUUGAGUAAGAGCAUAGCUGUUGGGACCCGAAAGAUGGUGAACUAUGCGUGAAUAGGGUGAAGCCAGAGGAAACUCUGGUGGAGGCUCGCAGCGGUUCUGACGUGCAAAUCGAUCGUCAAAUUUGCGUAUAGGGGCGAAAGACUAAUCGAACCAUCUAGUAGCUGGUUCCUGCCGAAGU